CGCCUUUGCCUCCAAGGCUUUGCUGGCUUGUGCGGCAUCCUGCUCCGUCUGCAGGUUGUGCUUCCGGUGCGGAGGUCAGGGACAAGAUGGUGCCACCGGUGCAGGUCUCUCCGCUCAUCAAGAUGACAGCAUAUUAAAGUGAGUGACCCUGCGACCCACUCUUUGGACCAGCAGCGGAUGAAUAAAGCUUCCUGUGUUGUGUGAU
rnacentral:lncRNA from 1 species